rnacentral:rRNA from 1 species
AUACGGAGGGUGCAAGCGUUGUCCGGAUUUAUUGGGUUUAAAGGGUGUGUAGGCGGUGUAUUAAGUCAGUGGUGAAAGCCUGCGGCUCAACCGUAGAACUGCCAUUGAUACUGACACACUUGAGUAUGGACGAGGUAGGCGGAAUUUAUGGUGUAGCGGUGAAAUGCAUAGAUACCAUAAAGAACACCGAUAGCGAAGGCAGCUUACUAGGCCAUAACUGACGCUGAGGCACGAAAGCGUGGGGGGCGAACAGGAUUAGAUACCCCAGUAGUCC